GGAUCAAUAUGUUGGUCGUGCUUAGGUACGUACUGGCGUAAUUGAUUUCUCUUUUCUGAUGAACCAUGAUGUCAUUAAUUUGGUGUCAUGGGAAAUCAGGAUUGUUACUUUGAAAAAAUUAGAGUGUUUAAAGCAGGCUCACGCUUGAAUACAUUAGCAUGGAAUAAUGAAAUAGGACGUUCGAUCCUAUUUUGUUGGUUUUUAGGAUCAACGUA
rnacentral:rRNA from 1 species